rnacentral:rRNA from 1 species
AGCGAACGCUGGCGGCAGGCCUAACACAUGCAAGUCGAGCGCCGUAGCAAUACGGAGCGGCAGACGGGAGAGUAACACGUGGGAACGUACCCUUCAGUUCGGAACAACCCAGGGAAACUUGGGCUAAUACCGGAUACGCCCUUACGGGGAAAGAUUUAUCGCUGAAGGAUCGGCCCGCGUCUGAUUAGCUUGUUGGUGAGGUAACGGCUCACCAAGGCUACGAUCAGUAGCUGGUCUGAGAGGAUGAUCAGCCUCACUGGGACUGAGACACGGCCCAGACUCCUACGGGAGGCAGCAGUGGGGAAUAAUGGACAAUGGGCGCAAGCCUGAUCCAGCCAUGCCGCGUGAGUGAUGAAGGCCUUAGGGUUGUAAAGCUCUUUCGGCGGGGAAGAUAAUGACGGUACCCGCAGAAGAAGCCCCGGCUAACUUCGUGCCAGCCGCCGCCGUAAGAC